rnacentral:rRNA from 1 species
AGAGUUUGAUCAUGGCUCAGAACGAACGCUGGCGGCAGGCUUAACACAUGCAAGUCGAGUGGGCGCUUUCGGGCGUCAGCGGCGGACGGGUUAGUAACGCGUGGGAACGUGCCCUUUGCUCUGGAAUAGCCCUGGGAAACCGGGGGUAAUACCGGAUGUGCCCUGAGGGGGAAAGGUUUACCGGCAAGGGAUCGGCCCGCGUCUGAUUAGGUAGUUGGUGGGGUAAAGGCCUACCAAGCCUACGAUCGGUAGCUGGUUUGAGAGGAUGAUCAGCAACACUGGGACUGAGACACGGCCCAGACUCCUACGGGAGGCAGCAGUGGGGAAUCUUAGACAAUGGGCGAAAGCCUGAUCUAGCCAUGCCGCGUGGGUGAUGAAGGCCUUAGGGUCGUAAAGCCCUUUCGCCGGGGAAGAUAAUGACGGUACCCGGUAAAGAAACCCCGGCUAACUCCGUGCCAGCAGCCGCGGUAAUACGGAGGGGGUUAGCGUUGUUCGGAAUGACUGGGCGUAAAAGCGCGCGUAGGCGGAUCGCAAAGUUGGGGGUGAAAGCCCAGGGCUCAACCCUGGAAUUGCCUUCAAGACUCGCGGUCUGGAGUUCGAGAGAGGUGGGUGGAAUUCCGAGUGUAGAGGUGAAAUUCGUAGAUAUUCGGAGGAACACCAGUGGCGAAGGCGGCCCACUGGCUCGACACUGACGCUGAGGCGCGAAAGCGCGGGGAGCAAACAGGAUUAGAUACCCUAGUAGUCC